CAUCCUCCAAGGCUAAAUACUCCUGACUGACCGAUAGUGAACCAGUACCGUGAGGGAAAGGCGAAAAGAACCCCGGCGAGGGGAGUGAAAAAGAACCUGAAACCGUGUACGUACAAGCAGUGGGAGCCCCACCACCAAAGCAUUCUCUGGUGUUGAAGGCCCUGCAAAGCAGCAUCGCGGUGGCGGAGCGUCGUUUGCGACGCCCAACACACAAAACAAGCGGUGAGUGCUUUGGGGUGGGGUGACUGCGUACCUUUUGUAUAAUGGGUCAGCGACUUAUAUUCUGUAGCAAGGUUAACCGUAUAGGGGAGCCGAAGGGAAACCGAGUCUUAACCGGGCGUUAAGUUGCAGGGUAUAGACCCGAAACCCGGUGAUCUAGCCAUGGGCAGGUUGAAGGUUGGGUAACACUAACUGGAGGACCGAACCGACUAAUGUUGAAAAA
rnacentral:rRNA from 1 species